rnacentral:rRNA from 1 species
GUGGGGAGUAUUGCGCAAUGGGGGAAACCCUGACGCAGCCACGCCGCGUGGGUGAUGAAGGCCUUCGGGUUGUAAAGCCCUGUCGGGAGGGACGAAAGCCCCGCAAGGGGCCUGACGGUACCUCGCAAGAAAGCACCGGCUAACUCCGUGCCAGCAGCCGCGGUAAUACGGAGGGUGCAAGCGUUGCUCGGAUUCAUUGGGCGUAAAGCGCACGCAGGCGGUUCGACAAGUCGGGUGUGAAAUCCCCGGGCUCAACUCGGGAACUGCAUUCGAAACUGUCGGGCUGGAGUGCGGAAGAGGGAAGCGGAAUUCCUGGUGUAGAGGUGAAAUUCGUAGAUAUCAGGAGGAACACCGGUGGCGAAAGCGGCUUCCUGGUCCGUCACUGACGCUCAUGUGCGAAAGCGUGGGGAGCAAACAGGAUUAGAAACCCUUGUAGUCC